CUACGGGAUGCUCCAGUGGGGAAUCUUGGACAAUGGGGGAAACCCUGAUCCAGCAACGCCGCGUGAGGGACGAAGGCCUGAGGGUCGUAAACCUCUUUUCCAUGGGAAGAAACCCCGCAAGGGUCUGACGGUACCAUGGGAAUAAGCCCCGGCUAAAUAUGUGCCAGCAGCCGCGGUAAGACAUAUGGGGCGAGCGUUACUCGGAAUUACUAGGCGUAAAGCGCGUGUAGGCGGAUGCUCAAGUCUGCUGUGAAAUCUCCCGGCUUAACCGGGAGGGGUCGGUGGAAACUGGGUGUCUAGAGUGAGGUAGGGGGAACCGGAAUUCCUGGUGUAGCGGUGAAAUGCGUAGAUAUCAGGAGGAACACCGGUGGCGAAAGCGGGUUCCUGGGCCUUUACUGACGCUGAGACGCGAAAGCCGGGGCAGCAAACAGGAUUAGAUACCCCGGUAGUC
rnacentral:rRNA from 1 species